rnacentral:rRNA from 1 species
AACUUUCGUUCGGAUCUCCGAUCAAGCAAGAGGACCCGCUGAAUUUAAGCAUAUAACUAAGCGGAGGAAAAGAAACUAACCAGGAUUCCCCCAGUAACGGCGAGUGAAGCGGGAAGAGCUCACGUUGUAAAUCUGGCUUCGGCCCGAAUUGUAGUCUGGAGAGGCGUGACCAGCCGGAGGUGGGGGUGAAGUCUCUUGGAAAAGAGCAUCAAGGAGGGUGACAAUCCCGUUCUUGCCCCCGCUCGCCGCGCGUACGGUCCGUUUUCUACGAGUCGAGUUGCUUGGGAUUGCAGCUCAAAGCGGGUGGUAAAUUCCAUCUAAAGCUAAACACGGGUGGGAGACCGAUAGCGAACAAGUACCGUGAGGGAAAGAUGCAAAGAACUUUGAAAAGAGAGUUAAAGAGUGCCUGAAAUUGCUGAAAGGGAAGCGAAGGAAACCAGUGUCUGACGUUUAAGCUUCUCCUUUGCCCCUCGGGCGCUGGUCUGCUUUUCUGUCGUAGCCAGGGCCGGGUGUUGCCGCGGGAGCCUGCGCCUCGGAAGGUAGCUUAUCUUCGGAUAGUGAAUACCGUGGCGUGACGUCGCGGCGGCGGCCGGUCCUGACGAAAUGGUUUUCUUUACCCCGUCU